rnacentral:lncRNA from 1 species
GCCCGGGCCUCUCCCUGCGCCACGGAGCCCGCGGCGGCCCAAGCAAGCUCCGGAGCCCGAAGUGCCAAGUCACCGCGCGGGCCCAAGGUCUGGAGACUCCUCAUAAAUAGACUCCCUGAGUUCCGCUGGGGCCGCCGGGCGCCCGGGGAGGCGGAGGCGGAGGCGGAGGCGGGCGCGCGGGCCUCGCCGGGCCUGGGCUCGACGCGGUCAGAAGUGGCAGCCGCUGAGGCCGGCGACUUUGCUGGCGAACGGGGGCCCCGAGGACAGGAGCGCGUCCCCGGGGUGCGAGAGGCGGAGGUGGCCGGCCACCGGGGCCAGGGCCGGGGCAGUCAGCAUGGCCAGGACCUGCGCUUGCCCCCCGGGGCCCGCCGGCGCCGCGAAAGGCGACCCCGGGGAGCCCUCGCCCCCGCCCGGGGGGGCCGCGCCGCCGCCGCCGCCGCCGCCGCCGCCGCCGCGGCCCAUGAUGUGGUCUAUGGAGAAGGAGGGCCUCUGGCCGGCCCCCGCGCCCCCGCCGCCCGCCCCGCCGCCCGCGUCCGUCUUGAGGCCCUGGCGCAGGAGGGCGGCGGGCAGGCCGGCGGCGGUGCCGGCCGCGGGGGGGCUCAGCGACGCGGGGUAGAAGGCCUUGGCGCAGCCCAGCUCGGCGCCCAGGAAGGCGGGCAGGCCCGCGGGCCCGGGGCCGGACGCUGCGCCCGGGGCGGGGGCGGGGGCGGGGGCGGGGGCGGGGGCCGGGCCGGACGCCGCGCCCGCGAACACCGAGGCCGUCGGGGGUCCGGGCGGAGGGGCGGCGGCGCGGCCCGGGGGCACGGACAGCUGGCAGGGCGCGGCGGCGGCGGCGGCGGCGGCGGCGAAAGCGAAGGCGUGCGCGUGCGGGUGCGGGUGCGGGUGCGCGUGCGGGUGCGGGUGCGGGUGCGCGUGCGGGGCCGGGCCGGGCGGAGGCGCGCCGUAGGCCGGGAGCGCCAAGCCGUAGCCGUAGCCGUAGGCGCCGUAGGCGGCGAAGCCCGGCAGGAAGGCGCCCGCGUCCCCCGCCGCCGCGGCCCCGCCGCGCAGCAGCAGCUCCGGGUGCGGGUGCGGGUGCGGGUGCGGCGGCGGCAGCGGCUGCCGCUUGAAGCGCUUGCGGCGCCGCAGGAAGCUGCCGUUGUCGAACAUGUCGGCCGACUCGGGGUCCAGCGUCCAGUAGUUGCCCUUGCCCGGGUUGCCCGGCUCGCGGGGGAUCUUGACGAAGCAGUCGUUGAGCGAGAGGUUGUGGCGGAUGCUGUUCUGCCAGGCGGGGAACUUCUCCCGGUAGUAGGGGAAGCGGCCGCUGAUGAACUCGCAGAUCUCGCUCAGCGUCAGCCGCUUCUUGGGGCUCUGCAGGAUGGCCAUGGUGAUGAGCGCGAUGUACGAGUAGGGCGGCUUCACCAGCGGGCUCCGCGCCGCCGCGCCCCCCGACGGCGGCCCCGGCCCCGGCCCCGGCCCCGCCGCGCCCCGGGCCGCCGCCGCCGCCGCCGCGCCUGGCCCGGGGCUUCCCGCCGCGGCCGCCGCCCCCCGGGGCGCUAG